UCCAGAGUAGCUCAGCGGUAGAGCAGUUGGCUGUUAACCAAUUGGUCGUAGGUUCGAUCCCUACCUCUGGAGCCA
rnacentral:tRNA from 1 species